rnacentral:rRNA from 1 species
GUAGGUGGCAAGCGUUGUCCGGAAUUAUUGGGCGUAAAGCGCGCGCGGGUGGUUCUUUAAGUCUGAUGUGAAAGCCCCCGGCUCAACCGGGGAGGGUCAUUGGAAACUGGGGAACUUGAGUGCAGGAGAGGAAAGUGGAAUUCCACGUGUAGCGGUGAAAUGCGUAGAUAUGUGGAGGAACACCAGUGGCGAAGGCGACUUUCUGGCCUGUAACUGACACUGAGGCGCGAAAGCGUGGGGAGCAAACAGGAUUAGAUACCCUGGUAGUCCACGCCGUAAGCGAUGAGUGCUAAGUGUUGGGGGGGUUUCCCGCCCCUCAGUGCUGCAGCUAACGCAUUAAGCACUCCGCCUGGGGAGUACGGUCGCGAGACUG